rnacentral:rRNA from 1 species
GGCCSSCAUGGCGGCCGCGGGWAUUCGAUUGGAAACAGGUGCUAAUACCGUAUAACAAUGACAACCGCAUGRUUGUUAUUUAAAAGAUGGUUCUGCUAUCACUAAGAGAUGGUCCCGCGGUGCAUUAGCUAGUUGGKAAGGUAAUGGCUUACCAAGGCGAUGAUGCAUAGCCGAGUUGAGAGACUGAUCGGCCACAAUGGGACUGAGACACGGCCCAUACUCCUACGGGAGGSAGCAGUAGGGAAUCUUCCACAAUGGGCGAAAGCCUGAUGGAGCAACGCCGCGUGUGUGAUGAAGGGUUUCGGCUCGUAAAACACUGUUGUAAGAGAAGAAUGACAUUGAGAGUAACUGUUCAAUGUGUGACGGUAUCUUACCAGAAAGGAACGGCUAAAUACGUGCCAGCAGCCGCGGUAAUACGAUAAUCACUAGUGAAUUCGCGGCCGCCUGCAGGUCGACCAUAUG